rnacentral:rRNA from 1 species
CCUACGGGUGGCAGCAGUGGGGAAUAUUGGGCAAUGGGCGCAAGCCUGACCCAGCAACGCCGCGUGAAGGAAGAAGGCUUUCGGGUUGUAAACUUCUUUUCUCAGGGACGAAGCAAGUGACGGUACCUGAGGAAUAAGCCACGGCUAACUACGUGCCAGCAGCCGCGGUAAUACGUAGGUGGCAAGCGUUAUCCGGAUUUACUGGGUGUAAAGGGCGUGUAGGCGGGACUGCAAGUCAGAUGUGAAAAUCACGGGCUCAACCUGUAGCCUGAAUUUGAAACUGUAGUUCUUGAGUACAGGAGAGGCAGACGGAAUUCCUAGUGUAGCGGUGAAAUGCGUAGAUAUUAGGAGGAACCCCAGUGGCGAAGGCAGUCUGCUGGACAGCAACUGACGCUGAGGCGCGAAAGCGUGGGGAGCAAACAGGAUUAGAUACCCGGGUAGUC